GGGAAGUGGCCUUGGUUUGCAGGGGACGAGGUAAGGAGGAAGGCUUUGGGAUAGAGAGUUGUCAUUCUUCCCAGGUUUCAGAGUUUGGUAGCCAUUUCCUUAGCCU